GUGGGGAAUAUUCCGCAAUGGACGAAAGUCUGACGGAGCAACGCCGCGUGAGUGAUGAAGGUUUUCGGACUGUAAAGCUCUGUUGUUUAGGACGAAAGUGCCUGUUGCAAACAGUUACAGGUAUUGACGGUACUAAACGAGGAAGCCACGGCUAACUACGUGCCAGCAGCCGCGGUAAUACGUAGGUGGCAAGCGUUGUCCGGAAUUAUUGGGCGUAAAGAGCAUGUAGGCGGGAAUCUAAGUCUGUUGUGAAAAUGCGGGGCUCAACCCCGUAUUGCGAUGGAAACUGGGUUUCUUGAGUGCAGGAGAGGAAAGGGGAAUUCCCAGUGUAGCGGUGAAAUGCGUAGAUAUUGGGAGGAACACCAGUGGCGAAGGCGCCUUUCUGGACUGUGUCUGACGCCGAGAUGCGAAAGCCAGGGUAGCGAACGGGAUUAGAUACCCCUGUAGUCC
rnacentral:rRNA from 1 species